GGCGACCGGCGCACGGGUGAGUAACACGUAUGCAACCUGCCUGUAAGCGGGGAAUAACCCGUUGAAAGACGGACUAAUACCGCAUAAUACUAAAUUACUGCAUGGUAAAUUUAUUUAAACAUUUUAUGGCUUACAGAUGGGCAUGCGCAUGAUUAGCUAGUUGGAGAGGUAACGGCUCCCCAAGGCAACGAUCAUUAGGGGUUCUGAGAGGAAGGUCCCCCACACCUGGUACUGAGACACGGACCAGACUCCUACGGGAGGCAGCAGUGAGGAAUAUUGGUCAAUGGACGAGAGUCUGAACCAGCCAAGUCGCGUGCAGGAAGAAUGUCCUAUUGGAUUGUAAACUGCUUUUGCAGGGGAAUAAAGUGCAUCACGUGUGAUGUUUUGUAUGUACUCUGCGAAUAAGGAUCGGCUAACUCCGUGCCAGCAGCUGC
rnacentral:rRNA from 1 species